rnacentral:rRNA from 1 species
CCCUUAGAUGUUCUGGGCCGCACGCGCGCUACACUGACGAAUGCAACGAGCUUAUAACCUUGGCCGAAAGGUCUGGGUAAUCUCCAAAUUUCGUCGUGAUGGGGAUAGAUUAUUGCAAUUAUUAAUCUUCAACGAGGAAUGCCUAAUAAGCGCAAGUCAUCAGCUUGCGUUGAUUACGUCCCUGCCCUUUGUACACACCGCCCGUCGCUCCUACCGAUUGAAUGGUCCGGUGAAGCGUUCGGACCGUGGCCUUUGGACGGUUCGCCGUCUGUUGGCUGCGGGAAGUUCGUUAAACCUUAUCAUUUAGAGGAAGGAGAAGUCGUAACA